GAUUAACGCAGGCGGCGUGCAUAACACAUGCAAAGUCGAACGAUGAAACUUUUUUGAUUUCUUCGGAAUGAUUAAAAAGUGGAUUAGUGGCGGACGGGUGAGUAACGCGUGAGUAACCUGCCUUAGAGAAGGGGAUAGCCUUUGGAAACGAAGAAUAAUACCCUAUGAAACCAUAACCUCGCAUGAGGCCUUGGUCAAAGAUUUAUCGCUCUAAGAUGGACUUGCGUCUGAUUAGUUAGUUGGUGGGGUAACGGCCCACCAAGACAGCGAUCAGUAGCCGGCUUGAGAGAGUGUACGGCCACAUUGGGACUGAGACACGGCCCAGACUCCUACGGGAGGCAGCAGUGGGGAAUUUUGCACAAUGGGGGAAACCCUGAUGCAGCGACGCCGCGUGAUUUAGAAGGCCUUCGGGUUGUAAAAAUCUUUUCUAUGGGAAGAAAAUGACAGUACCAUAGGAAUAAGGACCGGCUAAUUACGUGCCAGCAGCCGCGGUAAUACGUAAGGUCCGAGCGUUGUCCGGAAUCAUUGGGCGUAAAGGGUACGUAGGCGGGUAAGCAAGUUAGAAGUGAAAUCCUAUAGCUCAACUAUAGUAAGCUUUUAAAACUGCUCAUCUUGAGGUAUGGAAGGGAAAGUGGAAUUCCUAGUGUAGCGGUGAAAUGCGCAGAUAUUAGGAGGAAUACCGGUGGCGAAGGCGACUUUCUGGCCAUAACCUGACGCUGAGGUACGAAAGCGUGGGUAGCAAACAGG
rnacentral:rRNA from 1 species